UCCCGGUGCAGCCUUGCUCACCUGCGCCGCCCAGUGGUAGGAACAGAGACCUGCGGAAGAAAGUUGGCCCUCAACCACCGACUCCAUGCAACCCUCCAGGCCCUAAGCCUGGCUGGUAACCCAGGACUCUCACUCUCACUGUGGCACCUAGAAGCUCUCUGACUUGCUAACGCUGCCAUAAGGUGAGGAAACCAAGAUGAGGGAGGUGACAUGAGCAGCCUGAUGCCACCAGCAAGCAUCGGUGUGUGCAGAACCGACAACUCCCUGCCCGAGCAGAAGACAGCCUAGGUCUGGCUCCCCCAUCCCCGUGUGACUAUCAAUAAAGAACCAUUCAGUGCAGAUUAGAAAUGAAAGCAGCUUCGACUUCAAAGAACAAACAGCCAAGUCAGAGAAAGGAGGAUUUUCAGGUGCCUGGAGUUUCUUCCAAGAACGGGCUCCCUGAGACAGAGGCCGAGCGAGCAGACAGCCACAGACCUGAGAUCUCAGCUGAAGAACGAGCGUUGCU